rnacentral:rRNA from 1 species
UACGUAGGGCGCAAGCGUUGUCCGGAUUUAUUGGGCGUAAAGAGCGUGUAGGCGGCCAGGUAGGUCUGGUGUGAAAACUCGAGGCUCAACCUCGAGAGGUCAUCGGAAACCAUUUGGCUAGAGUCCGGAAGAGGAGAGUGGAAUUCCCGGUGUAGCGGUGAAAUGCGCAGAUAUCGGGAAGAACACCUAUGGCGAAGGCAGCUCUCUGGGACGGUACUGACGCUGAGACGCGAAAGCGUGGGGAGCGAACAGG